GGGUCCUUUUUAUAUCUUUAUUUACUAUCUUACUUUUGUGUCAUUAUCAACAAUUUUUAUCAGAAGAUACAUAGAAGAGUAUAAUAACUGGCACCAGCAAAGCUUGUACAGAACAGAGCGUUACAAACAAAGCAAGGAAACUCUCUAUGGAGAGAGUCAAAGAAGAUGGCCCUACUGGCUCGAGUCAUGAGGCUGUAAGAGGGCCAAAACGCGCUUCUAAUUGGCCUAAGAAGGCUAAGCUAUGAGCUAUGUGGUCCAUUUGUCUUUUUGGUAAUAAAUCCUAUAAGCAGACCACUAAUAUGGUUGGUUCAGAAGACAACUAACCUGGAAGUCCGGAUGUUAGACCACAGAACCAGAAGAC